UCUAAACCGAUUGCAGCGAUAUCGCUUUUGUUUUUCGCUUUGACAAAUUAAUAGCGCUGGAGAAAGAAAGUUGUCAAAGCUGAAAACAAAAAGAUUCAGUAAAAAGCCAAACUGGA
rnacentral:sRNA from 1 species